rnacentral:rRNA from 1 species
GANCGCUGCGACGCGGGCGGUUCGCCGCCCGCGACUCGGCGAGAAUCCAUNGAACCUUAUCAUUUAGAGGAAGGAGAAGUCGUAACAAGGUUUCCGUAGGUGAACCUGCGGAAGGAUCAUUG